AUUGAACGCUGGCGGCAGGCUUAACACGUGCAAGUCGAGCGGGGGAGGUUGCUUCGGUAACUGACCUAGCGGCGGACGGGUGAGUAAUGCUUAGGAAUCUGCCUAUUAGUGGGGGACAACAUUCCGAAAGGGAUGCUAAUACCGCAUACGCCCUACGGGGGAAAGCAGGGGAUCUUCGGACCUUGCGCUAAUAGAUGAGCCUAAGUCGGAUUAGCUAGUUGGUGAGGUAAAGGCCUACCAAGGCGACGAUCUGUAGCGGGUCUGAGAGGAUGAUCCGCCACACUGGGACUGAGACACGGCCCAGACUCCUACGGGAGGCAGCAGUGGGGAAUAUUGGACAAUGGGCGGAAGCCUGAUCCAGCCAUGCCGCGUGUGUGAGGAAGGCCUUUUGGUUGUAAAGCACUUUAAGCGAGGAGGAGGCUCUUAAGGUUAAUACCCUUGAUGAGUGGACGUUACUCGCAGAAUAAGCACCGGCUAACUCUGUGCCAGCCGCCGCAGUAAAAC
rnacentral:rRNA from 1 species